GGGUCAGUAGGUUGGUCGUGCCACCGGUACGUACUGGUCUCACUGAUUCCUCCUUCCUGAAGAACCGUAAUGCCUUUAAUUUGGUGUUGCGGGGAAACAGGACUGUUACUUUGAAAAAAUUAGAGUGUUUAAAGCAAGCUAACGCUUGAAUACAUUAGCAUGGAAGAAUGAAAUAGGACGAUCGAUCCUAUUUUGUUGGUUUCUAGGAUUGACGUA
rnacentral:rRNA from 1 species